rnacentral:rRNA from 1 species
GGAUCCUGAGUACGACGGAGCACGUGAAAUUCCGUCGGAAUCUGGGAGGACCAUCUCCUAAGGCUAAAUACUCUCUAGUGACCGAUAGUGAACCAGUACCGUGAGGGAAAGGUGAAAAGCACCCCGGAAGGGGAGUGAAAUAGAACCUGAAACCGUGUGCUUACAAGUAGUCAGAGCCCGUUAAUGGGUGAUGGCGUGCCUUUUGUAGAAUGAACCGGCGAGUUACGAUUUGAUGCAAGGUUAAGCAGUAAAUGUGGAGCCGUAGCGAAAGCGAGUCUGAAUAGGGCGUUUAGUAUUUGGUCGUAGACCCGAAACCAGGUGAUCUACCCUUGGUCAGGUUGAAGUUCAGGUAACACUGAAUGGAGGACCGAACCGACUUACGUUGAAAAGUGAGCGGAUGAACUGAGGGUAGCGGAGAAAUUCCAAUCGAACCUGGAGAUAGCUGGUUCUCUCCGAAAUAGCUUUAGGGCUAGCCUCAAGUGAUGAUUAUUGGAGGUAGAGCACUGUUUGGACGAGGGGCCCCUCUCGGGUUACCGAAUUCAGACAAACUCCGAAUGCCAAUUAAUUUAACUUGGGAGUCAGAACAUGGGUGAUAAGGUCCGUGUUCGAAAGGGAAACAGCCCAGACCACCAGCUAAGGUCCCAAAAUAUAUGUUAAGUGGAAAAGGAUGUGGCGUUGCCCAGACAACUAGGAUGUUGGCUUAGAAGCAGCCAUCAUUUAAAGAGUGCGUAAUAGCUCACUAGUCGAGUGACACUGCGCCGAAAAUGUACCGGGGCUAAACAUAUUACCGAAGCUGUGGAUUGUCCUUUGGACAAUGGUAGGAGAGCGUUCUAAGGGCGUUGA